rnacentral:lncRNA from 1 species
GCCACAGCUAUUGAAGACCUAGAAAAGAAAAUUCUCACCACCAAGAUCCCUGGUACUGUUUAAUGGUUAGAAGCGGGCUGUCACUAGUUCCUCUGCAAAAGCCUGAAGAUCAUGGCAUUCAAAGCCUAACUUUUAGAGCACAGAGUUCUGGAUCUGAAAUGGUUGUCCUCUUCGUGUCCUUACCCAGGUGAUGAAAGCACCUUCCCUUGUGUGAAGUAAACAUGGCCUAUUGCUCUUGGCAUUAUUAGCUGUUUUUACUGUUGUUUUUUCUUCUGUGGAAAGCUCCAUGUCCCCCAAAGCCCAGGAAGUUCAGAAGGCAAUGUCAAACUGGAGGAACUGAAACCAUUAAAACUUGUGACAACCGAAUUCUCCACUGGUGAUCUUCUCUUCUCAAGGAGCCCUUUAGUACAAGGGGGUUUCGGAGCAGCUCUUCAGAUGUGGCCUCAAGUAAUUUGGGUUUGUUUGGCUCAGCCCCAUUCCUCAAUGUGUGGGACAAUAUUCAUGGAAUUCCAGUCGCCUAUAA